GUUAGCAAUGCUGCCUCAGAUGAGAAGGUCCCGGGUUCCCUUCCGACCUGGUCCUUUCUGUGUGGAGCUUGCGUGUUCUCGCCGAGUGCU